UUAUACAUUAACUAUACUACUUAUCGGGC
rnacentral:sRNA from 1 species